rnacentral:rRNA from 1 species
AACGAACGCUGGCGGCAGGCUUAACACAUGCAAGUCGAGCGCCCCGCAAGGGGAGUGGCAUACCGGGGAGUAACGCGUGGGCAUCCACCCAUCUCUACGGAAUAACGCAUGGAAACGUGUGCUAAUAUCGUAUACGUCCUUCGGGAGAAAGAUUUAUCGGAGAUGGAUGAGCCCGCGUUGGAUUAGCUAGUUGGUGAGGUAAAGACCUACCAAGGGGUCGGUCCAUAGCUGGCCUGAGUGGAUGAUCAGCCACGCUGGGACUGAGACAAGGCCCAGACUCCUACGGGAGGCAGCAGUGGGGAAUAUUGGACAAUGGGCGCAAGCCUGAUCCAGCCAUGCCGCGUGAGUGAUGGAGGCCCUAGGGUUGUAAAGCUCUUUCACCGGUGAAGAUAAUGACGGUAACCGGAGAAGAAGCCCCGGCUAACCUCGUGCCAGCCGCCGCGGUAAAAC